CCCCAGGCUACUUCCCAAGCCGUUAGAAACCUGAGGUGCUGUCCUCAGAGCACCUUCAGCUCCUGAGAGAAGGAUGCUGCAGAAAUACAAGCCCAAGCCAUCGCUCCAGUGGCCCCAGACCGACUGCAUUCCGCCUGGAGGCAUCGUUGACAAGGAGACAGAAAACACAGAAAGAAAAGAAAUGCUCCGGAUACAGAUCUUCUGUCAGGACAUGUUACAAAGUUCCUUCAUGGCUGCUAACGAAUGCCCAAAGGGAAUGCCACUCCACUGUCAGCUUCAACCCCAAAGCAUUCAGCUCACGCUCCAUGGGUCUGCAAGCCCAGCGCCAGCAACCCACCCCCAGUGAAGUGCCCACCCAUAAGCCAGCCUCCUGCCCGAAAGCACUCAGCUUUACUUGCUCCAUGGGCUGGGAAGUCCACCACUCUUCCUUGUGCUCUGCUUUCUCGUUCUGUUGCUGUUGCAGCUCUGCCACUCAGCACAUGCUGAAGCUGUCUCCUAGAUCAAGGAGGUUCACUGCACGCUGUCUUCUGGAUCAAGGAGGUUCACUGCACGCUGUCUUCUAGAUCAAGGAGGUUCACGUCAUGCUGUCUUCUAGACCAAGGAGGUUCACUUCACGCUCUCUUCUUCUAGAUCAAGGAGGUUCACUUCACACUGUCUCUAGAUCAAGGAAGUUCACUUCACGUUAUCUUCUUCUAGAUCAAGGAGGUUCUCUGCACGCUGUCUUCUUCUAGAUCAAGGAGGUUCACUUCAUGCUGUCUUCUUCUGGAUUAAGGAGGUUCACUUCAUGCUGUCUUCUAGAUCAAGGAGGUUCACUGCACGCUGUCUUCUUCUGGAUCAAGGAAGUUCACUUCACGCUGUCUUCUUCUAGA